CGGAGGGUGCGAGCGUUAAUCGGAAUUACUGGGCGUAAAGAGUGCGUAGGUGGUUUAGUAAGUUAUCUGUGAAAUCCCUGGGCUCAACCUGGGCAGGUCAGAUAAUACUGUUAGACUCGAGUAUGGGAGAGGGUAGUGGAAUUUCCGGUGUAGCGGUGAAAUGCGUAGAGAUCGGAAGGAACACCAGUGGCGAAGGCGGCUACCUGGCCUAAUACUGACACUGAGGCACGAAAGCGUGGGGAGCAAACAGGAUU
rnacentral:rRNA from 1 species